UACGUAGGUGGCAAGCGUUGUCCGGAUUUACUGGGCGUAAAGAGCGCGCAGGCGGUCGUUCAAGUCGCGUGUGAAAGCCCCCGGCUCAACUGGGGGAGGGUCACGCGAUACUGAUCGACUCGAAGGCAGGAGAGGGAAGUGGAAUUCCUGGUGUAGCGGUGGAAUGCGCAGAUAUCAGGAGGAACACCGGUGGCGAAGGCGGGUCUCUGGGCCGAUACUGACGCUGAGGAGCGAAAGCGUGGGGAGCGAACAGG
rnacentral:rRNA from 1 species